rnacentral:rRNA from 1 species
UACAGAGGGGGCGAGCGUUAUUCGGAAUUAUUGGGCGUAAAGGGCGCGUAGGCGGCAAGGUAAGUCAAAGGUGAAAUCCCUCGGCUCAACUGAGGAACUGCCUUUGAAACUGCCUAGCUUGAGGCCGGGAGAGGGUAGUGGAAUUCCCAGUGUAGCGGUGAAAUGCGUAGAUACUGGGAGGAACACCAGUGGCGAAGGCGGCUACCUGGACCGGUUCUGACGCUGAUGCGCGAAAGCGUGGGGAGCAAACAGG